CUUCAGUAAUUGCGCAUGAACCAGGAUAUGCUUAGCUUGACAAAUGGAGCUGCUGGCUCUGAAUUGUAUUGUGGGAAUGUAUUACCAACAGAGGUGCAGGUCACACUCCUUGGCAUUGGAAUGCAAAGUGGGUGGUAAGUUUCAUGCAAAGGUAAAUAUGCAAUUGAGACUGAUAGCGCACAAGUACCAUGAGGGACAUAUGAAAAGGACUUUGAAAAGAGAAUUAAAUGAGUUUGUAUUUGCUAAACACAAAGUAAACAGACUUGAUUUCCUCAGUGAGAUUGUAGUGCUUGCUUAACAAUGGGUUUUGGCUGCAAGUGCAAUAAUUCUUGCUUUGUGUGCCCGUUUUUAUGUGGACAUUUGAUUACCUUUGCACAUGAAUGGUAAUUUUCCUGCGGGGUGUGGAUUGCAUAUGCAUGUAAUGAUUUGCAUGUUUGUUAAAUGUGUCUGGUGUAUUUGUUUGUGUCCUUGUCCUUGAGGUUGCUUUCUCCCUUGGGCUUACAUGCCCUGGCACACACAUUCUGGCAAAAUGCUUCUGCUUGACCCGUCUUGAAAAU
rnacentral:rRNA from 1 species